GACGAACGCUGGCGGCGUGCUUAACACAUGCAAGUCGAACGGGCCUGUCUUCUUUUUUGGGGGGUGGGUUGAGUGGCGAACGGGUGAGUAUCACGUGAGUAACCUGCCCUUCGGUCCUGGAUAACCGCUUGAAAGGGCGGCUAAUACGGGGUGGUCCGGUUGGUCCGCAUGGGCUGGUCGGGAUAGAUUCACUGUUUUUGGUGUUUCGGCGGGGGAUGGGCUCGCGGCCUAUCAGCUUGUUGGUGGGGUGAUGGCCUACCAAGGCGGUGACGGGUAGCCGGCCUGGGAGGGUGGGCGGCCACACGGGGACGGAGCUACGGCCCAGACUCCUGCGGGAGGCAGCAGUGGGGGGUAUUGCACAAUGGGCGGAAGCCUGAUGCAGCGACGUCGCGUGAGGGAUGGAGGCCUUCGGGUUGUGAACCUCUGUUUCCGGUGGUGAAGGCCCUGUCCGUGUGGUGGGGUUGACGGUAGCCGGGGAUGAAGCGCCGGCUAACUACGUG
rnacentral:rRNA from 1 species